UACGAAGGGGGCUAGCGUUGUUCGGAAUUACUGGGCGUAAAGCGCGCGUAGGCGGGCUAUUAAGUCAGAUGUGAAAGCCCGGGGCUCAACUCCGGAAUUGCAUUUGAAACUGGUAGCCUAGAGACCAGGAGAGGUUAGCGGAAUACCGAGUGUAGAGGUGAAAUUCGUAGAUAUUCGGUGGAACACCAGUGGCGAAGGCGGCUAACUGGACUGGUACUGACGCUGAGGCGCGAAAGUGUGGGGAGCAAACAGG
rnacentral:misc_RNA from 1 species